AAUGAACGCUGGCGGCAUGCCUAACACAUGCAAGUCGAACGAAGGCUUCGGCCUUAGUGGCGCACGGGUGCGUAACGCGUGGGAAUCUGCCCUUGGGUUCGGAAUAACUCAGAGAAAUUUGAGCUAAUACCGGAUGAUGUCGUAAGACCAAAGAUUUAUCGCCCAAGGAUGAGCCCGCGUAGGAUUAGCUAGUUGGUGAGGUAAAGGCUCACCAAGGCGACGAUCCUUAGCUGGUCUGAGAGGAUGAUCAGCCACACUGGGACUGAGACACGGCCCAGACUCCUACGGGAGGCAGCAGUGGGGAACAUUGGACAAUGGGCGAAAGCCUGAUCCAGCAAUGCCGCGUGAGUGAUGAAGGCCUUAGGGUUGUAAAGCUCUUUUACCCGGGAUGAUAAUGACAGUACCGGGAGAAUAAGCUCCGGCUAACUUCGUGCCAGCCGCCGCGGUAACAC
rnacentral:rRNA from 1 species